rnacentral:rRNA from 1 species
GAUGAACGUUGGCGGCGUGCCUAAUACAUGCAAGUCGAGCGAACAGACGAGGAGCUUGCUCCUCUGACGUUAGCGGCGGACGGGUGAGUAACACGUGGAUAACCUACCUAUAAGACUGGGAUAACUUCGGGAAACCGGAGCUAAUACCGGAUAAUAUAUUGAACCGCAUGGUUCAAUAGUGAAAGACGGUUUUGCUGUCACUUAUAGAUGGAUCCGCGCCGCAUUAGCUAGUUGGUAAGGUAACGGCUUACCAAGGCGACGAUGCGUAGCCGACCUGAGAGGGUGAUCGGCCACACUGGAACUGAGACACGGUCCAGACUCCUACGGGAGGCAGCAGUAGGGAAUCUUCCGCAAUGGGCGAAAGCCUGACGGAGCAACGCCGCGUGAGUGAUGAAGGUCUUCGGAUCGUAAAACUCUGUUAUUAGGGAAGAACAAAUGUGUAAGUAACUUUGCACGUCUUGACGGUACCUAAUCAGAAAGCCACGGCUAACUACGUG